rnacentral:rRNA from 1 species
CAGACCUCUAAUCGGAAAAGACUACCCGCUGAGUUUAAGCAUAUCACUAAAGCGGAGGA